GGUUGAUCCUGCCAGUAAUCAUAUGCUUGUCUCAAAGACUAAGCCAUGCAUGUCUAAGUAUAAACACUUUUAUACUGCGAAACUGCGAACGGCUCAUUAUAUCAGUUAUAAUCUACUUGAUCGUAUAAUCUUACUUGGAUAACCCUAGUAAUUCUAGAGCUAAUACAUGCGAAAGAAAUCGACUGGAGACGGAAGAUUUGUAUUUAUUAGAUCCAAAAUCAAUGCUAUCAGAAAUGGUAGGAAACAAUUGAUGAUUCAUAAUAACUAAACGAAGCGUUUGAUAAAUCGAACG
rnacentral:rRNA from 1 species